rnacentral:rRNA from 1 species
CUCAUUAAAUCAGUUAUAAUUUAUUUGAUGAUUACUUUUCUACAUGGAUAACCGUAGUAAUUCUAGAGCUAAUACAUGCGACAAGUCCCGACUUUCGUGGAAGGGAUGUAUUUAUUAGAUAAAAAACCAAUACGGAGCAAUCCGUUGGUUGGGUGAUUCAUAGUAACUGUUCGGAGCGCAUGACCUCGUGUCGGCGCCAGUUCAUUCAAAUUUCUGCCCUAUCAGCUUUUGACGGUAGUGUAGUGGACUACCGUGGCAGUGACGGGUGACGGAGAAUUAGGGUUCGAUUCCGGAGAGGGAGCCUGAGAAAUGGCUACCACAUCCAAGGAAGGCAGCAGGCGCGCAAAUUACCCAAUCCUGACACAGGGAGGUAGUGACAAAAAAUAACGAUACCGGUCCUUUUAGGUCUGGUAAUUGGAAUGAGUACAAUUUAAAUCCCUUAACAAGGAACAAUUGGAGGGCAAGUCUGGUGCCAGCAGCCGCGGUAAUUCCAGCUCCAAUAGCGUAUAUUAAAGUUGCUGCAGUUAAAAAGCUCGUAGUUGGAUUUCUGGUGUGGUGUGCCUGGUCCGCCCGCGUGAGUGGGUGUGUAUCGGCGCGCGCCUACCAUGUUUGCCGGGGAGCCCCGCUACCCUUUACUGGGCCGGCGGGUGCCAUCUGGCUCGUUUACUUUGAGUAAAUUAGAGUGUUUAAAGCAGGCUUGACGCUGUGAAUACUAUUAGCAUGGAAUAAUGAGAUAGGACUUGGGUUCUAUUUUGUUGGUUUCUAGGACCGAAGUAAUGAUUGAUAGGGACAGUUGGGGGUGCUAGUAUUCAACGGCCAGAGGUGAAAUUCUUGGAUUCGUUGAAGACUAACUUAUGCGAAAGCAUUCACCAAGGAUGUCUUCUUUAAUCAAGAACGAAAGUUGGGGGAUCGAAGACGAUCAGAUACCGUCGUAGUCUCAACUAUAAACGAUGCCAACUAGGGAUACGUGGAUGUUGCUUAAUCGACUCCAUGUGCACCUUACGAGAAAUCAAAGUUUUUGGGUUCCGGGGGGAGUAUGGUCGCAAGGCUGAAACUUAAAGGAAUUGACGGAAGGGCACCACCAGGAGUGGAGCCUGCGGCUUAAUUUGACUCAACACGGGGAAACUUACCAGGUCCAGACAUAGGAGGAUCAG